GUUUGUUUGGGGACUGUAUCGUUGCAUCGGGAGGCAGGGAAGACACUGAUUUUUGCCUCUGAAGGCAUUAGAUAGCACACAAGGAAAGACUCCACUUACUAAAUGAACUUUAAACUAAGGCUUCAAUUCUGCCUUUCAGACUUAGUUUCCUGAUAUGUAAAAUGGGCAUCACAACACUCAUAGGGCCUUUGAGACCAUUACAUAAAAUAAUGAUUUAAAGUAACCACACACAGUAUCCAACCAUACAUCAUACAUGUUUUUUAUUAGGUGCUUAUGAGAUAUACGUUGUACAUAUCCUUUGAAUUUUGCUGUUAUGAAAAGAGAAUAUUCCUGAGAUCUACCUCUUUCCCCAAAUAUUAAGGUGCUGAUUCAUGAAUGAAGAUAUGCUUCACUGCCACUUUCAACCUAAUUUAUAUCAGCUCAUCGAAGUGCAGGUGUCACAUGAGAGAGAGAGGCAGUAUAAGGGAAACACCAGGGGCACAAAGCAGGAUGGACACCAAGAGCUUUUCUGCACUGACUCUCCUGUUUUCCUUCAUCUUUUUCCUGGGACAAUCAAAGAUCUCUAGUGGCCUCCCAGAAAUCGGUGUGACAAAGGCAGAUGUUGUCUAUCAAGGAGAAGCACCUGUAACCUUUGUGAAGUCACAAAAUUUGUGUAAACCUGAUUCAGUAGCCACUGCAUUCAAUGAGGAGUUCCUAAUACUUCAUGCAACUUUGUAUGCUCAGUUCACAAAAUUCAAUCAAUAAUUAUGUGCAAACAUCAGACUUCAUUUGAAAACAGAAUGGUCUAUGAUCCACUGGAAAUGAAAGAGACUUAUCAUGCCUUGGUCUCUUAAGUAUUAACAACAUCUUUCUUCUGCAGUUGAUCUUCAUGUCAAACAUUAUAGGAAAGAGAACUGUGCCUUAUUAAUCACAGCCCUCCCUGAAUUGCUUCCAUAUAUAAAUUCUGCCCUUUGUGUUGACAAUUAUAUUUGCUAUUAUGAUACUGUGAGGCAGAUAGUACUUGGAAGCUCUCAGGUGGUCUUGGUGUUUUUGUUGAAAUUUAAUAACUAUCUUCAGGUAAAUGAUAAAUGUCACACUGGGUUGAAGAACUACCUAGUUGAAUACAAUACUGUCCUUCCUGAAGGGAAUUCCUUGCAGAAGACAGACGGUGCCUGAGUGACCCUGAAUGUGCUUUAUUGCAUAGUAUUUUUAGUGACUGCAACUGAGAUACUAAGACAAGGUCAACCAGAAAAAUACUUUUUAUAAUAAAAUUUUGUUUUGUCAUUUUGGUUAGUGUCA
rnacentral:lncRNA from 1 species